rnacentral:rRNA from 1 species
UACGUAGGGUGCAAGCGUUGUCCGGAAUUAUUGGGCGUAAAGAGCUCGUAGGCGGUUCGUCGCGUCGGCUGUGAAAACCCGGAGCUCAACUCCGGGCCUGCAGUCGAUACGGGCGGACUUGAGUGUUGCAGGGGAGACUGGAAUUCCUGGUGUAGCGGUGAAAUGCGCAGAUAUCAGGAGGAACACCGGUGGCGAAGGCGGGUCUCUGGGCAACUACUGACGCUGAGGAGCGAAAGCGUGGGGAGCAAACGGG